CAGUAGCCGCGGUAAUACGUAGGGUGCGAGCGUCAAUCGGAAUUACUGGGCGUAGAGCGUGCGCAGGCGGUUUUGUAAGACAGGCGUGAAAUCCCCGGGCUCAACCUGGGAAUGGCGCUUGUGACUGCAAAGCUAGAGUGCGGCAGAGGGGGAUGGAAUCCCGCGUGUAGCAGUGAAAUGCGUAGAUAUGCGGAAGAACACCGAUGGCGGAGGCAAUCCCCUGGGCCUGCACUGACGCUCAUGCACGAAAGCGUGGGGAGCAAACAGGAUUAGAUACCCCUGUAGUCCCUGUCUCUUAUAC
rnacentral:rRNA from 1 species